UACGAAGGGGGCUAGCGUUGCUCGGAAUCACUGGGCGUAAAGCGCACGUAGGCGGAUUGUUAGUCAGGGGUGAAUCCUGGAGCUCAACUCCAGAACUGCCUUUGAUACUGGCGAUCUCGAGUCCGGGAGAGGUGAGUGGAACUGCGAGUGUAGAGGUGAAAUUCGUAGAUAUUCGCAAGAACACCAGUGGCGAAGGCGGCUCGACUGGCCCGGUACGU
rnacentral:rRNA from 1 species